rnacentral:rRNA from 1 species
UACGGAGGGUGCUAGCGUUUUUCGGAAUCACUGGGCGUAAAGCGCACGUAGGCGGCUUUUUCAGUCGGCGGUGAAAUCCCGAGGCUUAACUUCGGAAAUGCGUCCGAUACUGCAAAUCUCGAGUCCGGGAGAGGUGGGGGGAAUUCCGAGUGUAGAGGUGAAAUGCGUAGAUAUUAGGAAGAUCACCAGUGGCGAAAGCGGUCCACUGGCCCGGUACUGACGCUGAGGUACGAAAGCGUGGGGAGCGAACAGG